AUUUCUAUGGUGUAAAUUAACACUUAAUAUUUUCAUUAUUAAAAUGGGUAUUCCCUAGAAAUA
rnacentral:tRNA from 1 species